AAUUUUAAUUGAGAUUUGUUGUUUUGAAUUUGUCCCCUGCACUUUCACUGGCUGUUGUCAUAUCGAUCCUGUUAGCGGGAUUGCAGCCCUAAACAGUUUUAAGCUCAUCUUUCUAUGUUUGACAUUAUUAUAGAAUAUAUACUAGGGCCCUUCACUAGGACAGCAAAUAUGUUUAUUUUGCACCCAGUGAAAUUCAAAGGUCUAUUUGUUAUCUAUAAUUGCCCCUUCUACAUUUUCAUACACAAAAUUGUGUAGUAGACCUUUACAGUAGAUCACAGUUCAGGUUAUUAACACAAUCCUGCAAAUUUGUCUACCUACAAGGACAACCAGCAUAGCAAUAUGACAGCCUGGUAAGAUACCACUCCGAUCACGUUUUAGGUUGUAACUCCUUGGCCAAUGGAGAAAAAAAUACAAACCAUUCUCUUAUAGGUGUCUUGUUUUAAUGAGCAAUGAACACUGUUAAAUUACUGAAUUAAUUUAAUAGUGCAUAACUCUUAUUUUGGUUAAAUAUUGAGUAAACCAAACUGGUUUAUUAGACUUAUUUGCUGUAUAAUCGUCAUUUUGCUGAGUCACAACAUGGCUUGGCUUCAGAAGAUGGUUUUGGUCAUAGACUGUAUGGGUUAUAGACCGUUUACACCCCGACCCGAGUACUUGUUCUGACACCUCUGGGCCCUCAUUUAUAAAACUGUGCGGAGGAUUCACUCAAAAGGUGGCGUACGGACAAAACACAGAAUGUGCUUACGCACAUGAUUUAUAACACAGUGCGCACGCAUGUCCCACGCCGGUUACCCUUCACAAAUCAUAAUUAACUCGAAAUUUGGCGCACGUGAGCGAGCGUCUUGUCCCACCCUCUUAACGCUCAUAGUUGCCUAUAAAUAGUCAGUGAAACGCCCCUAAUUAAUGUUCAGCCAUACUGACGGCAAAGCACGACAGAAAGGCAAAAAAAAAAAAACAAUUUCACGAAGUUCUUGAAGGGGAGAUUGAAGCAAGAACAAAUAUAUUGUUUGGUGGACAAGGUGUGGGCAUUACAAAUGCCAAAAAGCGUUAGUGGCAGCAUGUGGCGGACGCUGUGAAUGCAGAAGGUAAAAAAAAGACGUGGUCCGACAAAAGUGGAGGCCGAAAGGCACACAGCCGUACACAGACAGUGUUUGUGCCACGAGCGGGGGAAAGGGGACACCGGAGCCCAACCCCCUUAAUGGGCGACUUGCCAGUUUUAUAGGGGAAUCCCACCUGAGUGGAGUAGCGACGGAGGAGGACACGGACAUGCAGGACGGGAUGACCCAGUCCCUGAGUGUUCCAGCGGGCCGGUGGCGCUGCAGCGGAGCAAGAGCUGAGUGCCCGGUGGCGCUGCAGCCGAGUAAGAGCUGAGUGCGCCCAGCCCUGGCGUCUCCACUGCACCUCGUGCAGUCCUGCAAACCCAGAGACACCAUCGACGCUAUUAACGUCACUCGCUCCGAGACCUUGAAGUAGUUGCAGAGGGUCCAUGGUUCGAGCCCAGGUUGGGGCGAGGAGAGGGACGGAAGCCACACUGUUACAUGGGUGCUUCUCUGUAAAGCUGGGCCCAGUACAAGACAGAGAUCCAAGAGAACAGCUCUUGGUAAUUGGAACCUGCUCAUAAGCCACUCAUUGGCCAGUAAAUCUUCCAUUCGCCAAAUCUUUUGACAGUACUAAUGCAGCCAUUGUGCGUCAUUACGCAUUGUAAUUGCAUGCCUUGUUAUACCCACCCAUUUGAUUGUCAAAGCUACCCAAUUGCGUAACACCGUCAGGUGUGGUAAUUACCCUGAUUGUAACUGACAAUGACAGGGCCAUUAUCACAUUGACAGUUCUGCACAACGAACAUGUGACCUAUCUGCCCGACUGAGGCAUUGAAAACAGCAUCAGUUUAAACGUAAUUUGUCCUACUGUUCACCUUAUUAUUUAUGAGAAUACAUUUCAUAACAUUCAAGUAUGGUUUAAUAAUUAUAGAUUCAAUUAAAUAUGAUUCCCGAUUAAACUGUACAACAUAAUUUGAGGGGUUCUUUUGCGAAAA